UUCGAGUUGUGCGGCGUGUAGUUGAUGAACACGAAGCCGCGGUUCUGGUCGAUCAGGUGCAACAGCGGGUUCCAGUCGAACGCCCGCAGCAGGAACCCGGGCAGCAUGUUGGCCACGAACAUCUUGCCCGAGGCGAUCAUGUUCACCCGCCG
rnacentral:ncRNA from 1 species